rnacentral:piRNA from 1 species
UCCAGACCCAGAUGUGGCCUCAGGCAGGUGA